rnacentral:rRNA from 1 species
CCCAAACCAAUAAAGUUUUCUUUAUUGGGGUUGCGGACAUAUCAUAACGAAGAGGUAUCGUAAUUGAAGAGGUUUGGAAAGACCCACCACAGAAGGUAAUAGUCCUGUAUGUUAAACGAGAAGACUUUAGAUAUGAUCCAGAGUACCACGGGACACGUGAAACCCUGUGGGAAGCAGGAGGGACCACCCUCCAAGGCUAAAUACUACCUAGUGACCGAUAGCGUAGAGUACCGUGAGGGAAAGGUGAAAAGAACCCCGGGAGGGGAGUGAAAUAGAACCUGAAACCCUGCACUUACAAGCUGUGGAAGCACAUUUCUUGUGUGACCGCGUACUUUUUGUAGAACGGGCCAACGAGUUACGUUAAGUAGCAAGGUUAAGCACUUAAGGUG